rnacentral:lncRNA from 1 species
CUGUAACAUAUUUUCUUUGCUCCCCUGGGAGAUUUUUCUUUUUUAAAGAUGGUGUUUCACUAUGUAGCUCAGGUUAACCACAAAUUCAAUGUAGCCAAGGAUGACUUUGAACUCCUGAUUCUCUUGCCUCCACCACCUAAGCCCUGGGAUUUUCGGUGUGUAUCACCUGGCCUUAACAUUUCCUUUUUUUCCCCUGUGUGUCUGUGUGUAUGUUGUUGCUCCUCUAGCUCAUCCCUCAGAUCUCAACCUCAGAAAGCUGGUGCUGACACCCUCCCUAACUUCUUGCUCUCUUUUGCUAUCCUGUUUAUUUACUAUAUAGCAUUUGGCCAGCUUGUGUUGAGCACACUUUAAUAAUAAUUAUAAGCUUGUGUGUUUCUUGUCAAUCUCCCUACUAUUGCUUCUUAUGGGUAUAGAUUGGAGGUAGGCACAUCAGAGAGCUCUGGGAGACAGAAAUGGAGCUCAGUGGAGACAAGACUCAAUGAGAGAAGAAACCAUUUCUCACACCAUGUUUCUAUGGUCCAUCUCAAAUCAUGACCUAGGACCUCCUAGAUGGAUGGAGGAUGGAUGAAUGGGUGAUAUAUAUGUAAUACAUGAAUGGUCGGUGGAUAGAGGGAUGAUGGCCUGAUAGGAGAAUUCUAGAUUUUAGCAUAAAGUAACAGAAAUCCUGUUUAAGACAUUGGGAGUAGUUAAGAAAGACUCUGUAGCUACAGAAAGACCCAUUCCUGGGUUGGAGACCCAUUUCAUAAAUUCGGACAAUGUCAUUCCAAAUCCUGGACGAGAAAACUCAUCCAUGAGUACACUCAGGAAAUACCUUCCUGAAGAAUGAGAUGGAAAAUGAAAACCAAAUGGCUGAGGAAUGCUGCCUGCUUUUCUCAUUCUUCGCUGGGGGCAGAGCUGCUUGGACUCAACUGAAUCACGGGUUGAUGAGCUGAAGCAGGAUGACCGACAAUACUCUGGGACAUGUUUACAUGACAGAACUUGGUUUUGCAAUAUCAGCAUCAUUCCUUGGAACAUCAGGGACAAAUUCCAGAGGAGAAGGCUUUCUAUCUAUGGACUCCCAGUGACUCAUGCAACCAACACAAGGGACACAAAUGGCUAUUGGUCACAGCUCAAUGGAUCAGGCAACUCAGACUAUGCCAAAUGUUAUCAGAAUGAGCUCACAUAGAAACUUCAAGAAUACUCAGUGAGAGGCAGAAGAUAGUGGCUGCCUCAUCUGCACACUACCACAUUCCUUUAUCCUGCCUAACCUAUGUGGUGAGAGAAAUGACUUACUAUGAUGUUUGGGAAAUCAAACCCAACCCCAACACUACCAAAGAAGAACUAAAAAAGACUACAAGCCAAAUGUUGUCUCUGAUACCAAGAGAAUUGUGUAACAAAGGAGGCAAACAGGUAAUUUAGGAGGAGAGAAGGUGAUACUGGGGUUCUCUUGUAGACAUCUUUGAUGUUUUCUGGAGGAGACAGAGGGAGGAUGCAGAGACAAAAGAGAAGUAAACAUGUUGCGUGUGAACUACAAUAACCUUGGACUUACACAAGGAUGCAACAAGACUGGCUUUGCAAAAGAAUGUGCUUUGUGACAAAUGUGAAAACCGUCAUGGUAAAAAAGGAGCUAUGGCAUACUGGCCCAACUGCAGAGAUAGUGGGAUCCAAAUUUGGAUUCUCAGAAAGGAUGGGGAAUGGUUCCAGAAAUUCAGUCUGUGUGCAUGGAGUACCAGAGCUAUGGAGACUUUCCACCCCACUUAAAGACAGAUGUAAAGGCUGCAAUAGAAAGGAGACUGGGAGAAGAUUCUAGAAGACUGUGUUGACUGGGAAUUUUUGUCAACUUAAUACAAGCUAGACUCAUCUGAGAAGAGAUAAUCUCAAUUGAGAAAAUGCCACCAUCAGACUGGCCUGCAUAUAGGCCUGAAGGGAAUUUUCUUGGUUGAUGACUGAUAUGGAAGGGCCCAGCACACUAUGAGCAGUGCCAUCCCUGGGCACUGGGGUGUAUAAGAAACCAACUAAGCAAGCCUGAAGGAGCAAGCCAGCAUGUUGUCACAGUGAUGAGAAAAUAACUAAUGCAGAGUCCCACCCUCAGUGACCCACAUCUGCCAGGCUCGUGUGUUUGAACACUCGGUCCCCAGCCGGUAGUGCUGUUUGGGGAGGUGAUAAGAUCUUUGAUACACGGGGCUCAGCUGCUGAAUAUAAGCCUCUUGGGCCCUGCAUCGUACCUAAGAUCUCUAUUUCCUGAUGUACUGAGAUGUGAACAAGCUGUGCUGCAAGCUUCUACCUCCAUGACCAAGCUGCUUCAGCCCCCAUACUUUGCCUGCCAUGAUGGACUGUAUUUGCCUGAGCCAAGAGCCGAUGUAACCUUCUCCCAUAGCUGCUUCUAUCAGAGAUUUGAUCACGGUGAUAUAAAAGUAACUAAUACAGACAGCCAGGCUGGUUGGCAGCAAUGACAGAAAGGAAGGGGGUCAGAGAGCCAGGAGAAGCUGCACUGUGAUGCCUAACAGGGAGCAGACCCAAGGGUUGCAAAUGGUCAUAGAGCCCCAAACUGGCUGAGUUCGGGAGGCAUAGCCAAGUGCACCAGGAAGGGGGAGGAAGGGCUCAGGCUAGUGGGUGCACACCACAGAAAAACAGGAAGGACUCCAACUCACUCAGCCCACUGCUCCUUACAAUGAGUUUUCCAGUGGAAUAUAGCUGAAGCCACUUUUGGUAUGGGCUCCAGACUGGAGGUAGGAGUGGCUCCAGCCACUAGGUGCUACAGAGAGAGAGACAACAGGUAUACAUGCCACAGACAGCAUCCUGGGAAAUGUUAGCUUUAUACCCCACCCCAAGACAGAGGAGUAAGAGUAAUGUGGUUGCUCAGUAGCUGUGGUGGUUUGAAUAAGAAUGCCCCCCAUAGGCUCAUAGAUUUGAAUGCUUAGUCACCAGGAGUGGUACUAUUUGAAAGAAUUAAGAGGUUUGGCUUUGUUGGAGUAGGUGUGGCCUUGUUGGAGGAAGUGUGUCACUGUGGGUGGGCUUUGGGGUUUCAAAAGCCCAAGCCAGGCCUGGUGGUUCUCUCUGCCUCUUGCCUGUGGAUCCAGAUGCAGAACUCUCAGUUACCUCUCCAGCACCACGUCUGCCUGCACACUGUCAUGCUCCUUACCGUGAGGAUAGUGGACUAAACAUCUGAACUGUAAGCCCAAUUAAAUGCUCUCUUUUAUAAGAGCUGCCAUGGUCACGGUGUCUCUUCAUAGCAACAGAAUACUGACUAAGACAGUAGCUGUCAGGCUGACUAAAGUGCCACGAAGUCUCUUUUCCCUUGGAUCCUUUAGAAGCAAGCUCUCUAGCCUGCUUUGGGGACCUUCUUCUUCAUCCUCAGAGAAGGAAAGGAUUCUCCCCCUCACCCCAUUGCAUGACUCAAAGUCCCUCGUUUGAACUGAGACUCGGGUAAGACACCUCCUCACUGCCAGCCCCAACUUUCCCAACAAGAGCAGGAGUCCACCCUCACCCAUGCGCCAUGUACCCUGAGAGGCCACCCUGCAAGGGUCUAUGACAUAUGCUCUCUGAUGGUUUCCCAAGGGUCACACUGGCCACACCCUUGGGGUUUGGCUCCCAGCUCUCUCCAAGUUCCGCCAGCAAAAUUAUCUUUAAUCAAUGCUGCUCAGUCUGCAGCUUCUCCCAAGGGAAUGCCACUAGGCAGCCUGUUUCACAAUCAUUGGCUUCACAUCAGGACCAGAGGAACAGGGUGUAGUGGAAAGAGCACCACAAGAGGCAGGAGCCUUCGUCCAGCUCUCUUGACCCUAACAAAGUCACCUAACAAAGUUUCCCUACUUUGUCCCUUUCAAAGGUUUCAGUCUGGUGAAAGUGAAUCUGUUGUGUCCAUAAGCACUUUCUAUGAAGGAGAGCACCCACACCAGCAUGGUGCCUCUCAGGAUAGACUUCCCUCAACCACAUUUAUGCAUGUGAAUUCCUGGCCAUAGCUGCUGUCACCAAGAGCAACUGUCCACACCUCAGAUAGGGCCAGUUAACACUUUCCCCCAAAUAGUUUGGGAUACAGAAAGAAAGAAACCAAGAGAGGACUCAGAAGUUAGGGAUAAUCAUGUUCUCACCUGAGCCAUCUGGAGAAUGGAAACCCCACUGCAAGGAAUGGGAGAAAGAAGAAACAUGAAAGCCUAGUGGACAAGAGGGACAGAGAGUCUGGGUGCUUUCUGUUCUGCAUUUCAAGUUUCCCUGAAACCUGGGACCUUCUGAGUUAAAGCCUUUUUAAAACUCCCCCCUCUCUCUUUCUCUCUCUCUCUCUCUCUCUCUCUCUCUCUCUCUCUCUCUCUCUCUCUGUGUGUGUGUGUGUGUGUGUGUGUGUGUGUGUGGAGGGGUGGAGGGGUGUGUGUAUGUAGGGGGGUGUGUGUGUGUGUGUGUGUGUGUGUGUGUGUGUGUGUAAGGGACUCUGUGUGUGUGUGUGUGUGUGUGUGUGUGUGUUGUGUGUGUGUGGAGGCUGGAGGACAGCCUGGACUGUUGUUCCUCGGGUGCUGCCUAUCUUGUUUUUGAGACAGGGUCUCUCAUUGGCCUAGAGUUCACCAGUUCAGCCAGACUGACGGGCCAGUAGGUUCCAGUGAGCUUCCUAACCCUUCUCCAGUGUUGGGAUGUAAGCAUGUACUACCAUUUCUGGCUGUGUAUGUGGUGGCUGGUGACUGAUUCAGGCAGGUCCUCAGGCUUCAGGGCAGUAACUUAACCAACAGAGCCAUCACCCCUGCCCCAACCCCCUGAACAGGCUUUGAAAAGUGGGUUUGAGGGCUCUGAACCCUCCCCUCCUGAUAAUUUCAAGGGAGUGAACUUUAACAAGCCUGUGUCCUGCUGGUCCAUCUGGCUUCUUAGUCCUGCACCACACAUCUUAGCCUAGGUUCUGGUCCCCAUCUGCAUCUUGCUUGGUCACCACAACCAGCCAUGGCCUUGGUCACAGUAAGUGUUCCAUCAACUCAUGUCAGGUUGAGACCGAGAAAAAUCCAAAGCCAUCAUUCCUCUGUGAGGUGUGUUCCUCAGAGCUAGCCGGCAGCUCCUCCCUCCCUGGGCAAGGUUGUCCAUAGUGGAUCCAUGACCCCACAUAAGGCCAGGACUCAACCCCGAUGCAGCCAGCCCACAGCUUCCCAAGUUUUAUUUUUAUUAACCCAACUGGAAAAUUGGACUUCACUCAGGGCUCUGCUGCAAAACAGAUGCUAGAGCUGGGCUCUGGUUUCCUAGAUAAACACAUUGCGAUAAUAUGCAUCUACCCGUGAAAUGCUCUCUGCAGCAGCGGCACGUGGCAGCUCUCCAGAAGAAAGAAAAACAGUGUCAACGCUACAUUGGAGGCCUCUCACUCCCCUUCCUGGCCAGAGGCUUCACUGCAGGCUAACUCUCUCCUGGAUGGCUCCCCUUGUCCUCUCCUGCCUCUGGCCAGGAAUUUAACAGCUUCUAGAAAGAACACUAGGCUUUCCUCUCUUCUCUUGUCUUGAUCAAGGACCUCCCUUUGCUCUUCCACCAUGCCCUCUGUGAACUCCAUGCCAGCACAUGGAGACUCUAUGUACUUCAGUUUUCCAGGUGUGUCUGCCUCCUCCUGAGAAGCAGGAAACCUCCCCGAGAUUAGGAACAGAGCCUGGUACAUGGUGUCAUGCAGAGCCCAGAGAUAGCCCUGGCACAGAAAGAGCAGACAGAGUGGCUAAUGUUGCUGAAUGAGGGAAUAAAAGUGACUCACAUUAGCUAGCUGCAGCCAGUGAGGGAGGCACGAGAUUCAAGAAUGUGCCCUGGGUGUCAUCCAGACCAAGCUGGGUGUGGGACCAAGGGAUCACCACACAUCCUGCCCCCUGAAGUACUGCCAUCUAUGAAAGGAAAUAAGGUAGAAAAAUGAGGAUUUCUUUUCCCCCAUGUCACCGCCCCCAUCCUUGCGAAGACAGUCUCUGGACAGUCACCAAUGAGUGGAAAAAACUGUUAGCAUGAAACCCCCAACCAUGGAGGGCAAUCGAUUUGAAGAAAAGAAUGAUGGAGCUGUAACUCAGUGAUCAGGGGUGCUUGCCUAGCAUGUGCAAACCUUAGGAAAGGAGGCCAGGAGGAGGUGGGAAAGCAGAUGCAGCCCCUGGACCAGAGCAAUAAGCUGGGGAGGAGGAGGAGAAUAACUUACGGUUUCUCUCUAACUGUUCUGAAAGACAUUAAGACCUGAGGACAUCAGGAUAUGACACAAACAGUCUUGAAAGAAAUUGAGACUCCAAAAAGGCCAAACAACACCAAAGGAAACAUGGGGUCAUGAGGGAGGUAACAAAAGCAAAGGGAACUCCUAGUCACCCCCUCCAAGGCUACUUGCCUAGGAACUGAUGAAUGAUUGAUUGGAAACAUUGUGUUAGACGGAUUACUCUGUGUACAUGAACCUGAUGGGAGGUGGUGUACGGGUUGGUAGAAGGGUUACAGACAUCCUCCAGUUUGGCACAUCUGAGGACAUACGAGCACCUACAGGAGCACAGAGAGUAGGGACAGUAAUUGAGAAGCGUUCAAGAAACAUUUGCCCCUGCCCUGGGCUCAGGUCCUGUCACUGUCUCCAUUGCUUAUGUUCUGGGUCUCUCUGGACUCAGCUGCCCAUGGUGGGAAGUAAAAAUUUUGUCAUAUUGUGCCCAGGGGAGAGGCUUGUGUUGGGAGAGAGAGCAUGAGGUUUCAAAUAGCUGCCAGGGAAAUAACAACCCCACCCGCUACUGUUACCAGAAAUGUUUCCCUUUCCACUAAUACAACUCGGAACAUGGUGUCUGUGUUCUGAGGAUGGUCACAUCAGAGAGAGGCAUGUAACCACUAUCCCUCACCCAGCAGCCUUUGACCUAAAAUAUAUGUCAUUAGAUGGUGGGUCAGAGCCCAGAUGUCAUUCAGGGAGCUCUUCAGUAAAAGCAAAGACCCGAAAAAAAAAAAAAAAAAAAAAAAAAAAAAAAAAAAAAAAAAAAAAAAAAAAAGCUUUAGAUGAUAAAAUGUCGUCUGCAUAUGUUCAGGUUUAGUUGCACCCUGUUUUAUAUGGAGGGAGAAUUAUUUUAAAAAUGAAGAAAAUUUAGACUUUUAGUUUAAACUAAAUUUAAAGGACAGAAAAUUGACACAAGUAUAGCAGCUACAAAGGUCAUUUUUAGAAUAUGACAAUGACACAGUUGUAGUGAAUUUCACAGUUCUGAGUGACUCGGAGGAAUGGCAAUAUUUCUUUUUGUCCUGACUAAGGGAAAUUCCUUGGAAAUGAUCUGCAGAUCCUGGAGAGAGCCCCAGGGUGCCCAGAUGCCCAAACCCUGAGGAGUGAAACCCAGGAGCCCCUGGAACCCCCACUCAGCCGCUUGUGUCUCACUUCAAAUUGCCCGGAUUUAUCCUCUCCCCUUCUGACCACAGUCCCAUCUGUCUGAGGGGUUUACAGCCACCACAUCUUGACAUCCAGAUGUGCCUACACUUUCCCUCCACUGUGCCUUCCUUUUCCAUCUGUCACUUCCUUUUUUUUUCUUUUUAACACCUCCUCCCCAUCCCCACCCUGAUCUAUCCAUGAAAUUCACUGUUUAUCUAGGACCCAUCUGCUCUUAUUUGGGAAAUAGAGUGUGAGACUAAACCUAAGGAAGGAGACAGAGCCGGGGUUGACAGGAAACCGCAAGAGAUUCAGGGACCAGGAGCUGAGACUCAGAAACAGAUUGACAGGAUUCAGAAACUGUUGAGACCUAGAGGAGCAGAACCCGGAGGAAGUGAGGCUGAGACCCGUGGAGAAUUCCAUGAUUGCAGUGCCUUAUCUUGCAUAACAGCUCUCCACAUUAUAGAUUCAAACCUGCCAGCCUUUUCCUUAAAAUUCUAGAGCAGUCCUUUCCACCCAGGGUUUUUGUUGUUGUUGUUGUUUUGUUUAGAUAGGGUCUCUGUGUGUAGCCCUGACUGUCCUGGAAUUCAAAUGUAGACCAGGCUGACUCCAACUCACAGAUAUCUGCACCUCAAGUGCUGGGGUUGGCCACUACACCUGGCUAAUAAUAUUCUAUAUCACAGGAGUCCCUCUUUAUCUCUGUUUCACACCCAUGGUUUCAGUUACCUGUGGUCAACCCUGGUCUCCACAUAGAAAUAGAAAAUUCCACAAAUAAGCAAUUAAUAAUUUCUGAACCUUUUUGCAGCAUAUUGUUCUAAUUGUUCUACUUUAUUGCUGCUAUUGUCAAUUCCCUGCUCCUUUAUAAAUUACACUUUGCUGUAGGUGUGUGUGUGUGUGUGUGUGUGUGUGUGUGUGUGUGUGUGUGUGUGUGUAGAGGGGGGGGGUGACCAGUACAAUCCUCCAUUUAAAGCACCCAUGAAGUGUCUUGAAAUGCAACCCUCUGGGUAAGGAAGGGAGCCUACUAGGUUUUGUUCUAAAAAUUUUUUGGUUUGUUCUUUAGUGUUAUUUCCAUAGUCCAUUUGAGUAUUUGUUUCUCUGUAUGUGUGGGAAAGCAAUUUCAGCUUAAUUCUUCUCCAAGUAGGUACCAAUAGUAACAUCAAAUAUUGACACCCCCCCUCAUUCUCCACCCCUUGACCUCUCAUGUGAAAGACCAUACCCAUCAUGGAGCCCAAGAUGCUCCUGUAUUACUACUGUGCUCUGUGGAAGAGCUUGUCUAUCCCCCUGCCAGUCCUACAGUGUUUCAAACACUGUAGCUUUAUUGUGGAUUUUGAUACCAAAUAGAGCAAAUUCUUCUUUUUCAAAAUGUUCUUGGCUGGGCUUGUUCACUUUCUAUUCCAGAUGAACUCCAGAACCAGCGGUCAUGAAAAGUUCAGAACACAUCAAAUACCUUCUUUCUAAAUGUUCCUCCUUUUCCAGUUACUGGUCUGAUUCUUUUCCUCCCCACCCCCAUUUCCUCUGUGCAGCACAACUGGGCAUCAGCAAGUCUUCCCAUCACUCUGAGAACUGGAUGCUGAUAACUUCCAUUUGAUAAAUAAAGUUAGAACCACAAAAAGAGGCUAUUCUUGGGGUCAGGAGUAGGAAGCACAACAAUCUGAUUAGAUAUAAUCAUUUUUAAAAUAUUUAUUUUACUGUUAAUUCUGUGUAUGUGUGUGAGCAUGUGCACAUGCGUGUUGGUGCCUGCUGCGACCAGAGGUACUGGUUUGCCUGGAUAUGCAGUUAUAGGCAGUUGUGAGCGGCCUAACAUGGGUGCUGGGAAUUGAACUAAGGCCCUUUGGAAGAGCAGCAGGCAGUCUUAACCACUGAACCAUCUCUCCGACCCCUAUAAUCUUUUUUUCUUACAGAAAAAAAAAAAAAAGAAUAGCCUGGCAUGGAGGUACUGUCUUUAACAGGACACUCUAGAGGCAGAGGUAGGCAGGCCUCUGUCAGUUCAGGGCCAUCCUGGUCUAAAUGGCAAGUUCCAGGUCAGCCAGGGUUAUAUAGUGAGAUGCUGUCUUAAAGAAAAGGAGGAGCUAUUGACUAGAGGUAGCCAACACCCCAGUCCUCAAGGCCCUCUGCCUCCCAUUGCCAGUGAACACCUGACAUGCAGUCAACUCAACAGGCACCUGCAAGCUCGGAUGGGGCCACCUCCAGUACUGACAGAACUGGGUUUCAGGAGACCCAUGCUCUAGCCAAGGACAUUUCCCAAGGCAAAGCCUGCUCUGUGAGGCAUCUGCUAAAAGUGAAUGAGCCUCUCCUGGCAGCAGCUGGCCUGGCCACAUGCUUUCUUACAGGAUGGCGUGCCAAUGUUCCACUCCCAUUAAGUGAAACAGUGGAUAGCUUCAUGGAUUUUCAGACCUUUCUUCUUUUUGUCAGCAGGAAGUUUUGCAUGCACUCUCAGUUAUUAUGCAGGGUGUUUGCAGUGUCAGGGCAGGCCUCUGCUUCCUGCUUGAUUUCUCUCUUUUACCUGAGUCAUGCUAGACUGCUGGCUAUGGACAUGGUCAUCCUAAUUCUGGAUUUUCUGAGACAGCCCAGAUUUCAAAAAUUCUGAACUUUAGCCUGAAGCUGUUAAAAAAUACUUGGAAUUCUAAGGUUUCCAUGCCCAGCUAGCCCCUCCCAUAUUGCAUUAACGCUGGGAAAUAACCCAAAACAAUUUUGUAAGAUGAUGUGGCCUUAAAGUUGGUUUGGUUCUGGAAAAGAAAUCUUGUUAUAAAACAUUCCUAAACCAUGACAAACACAUCCCUCGACUGUUUCUAACUAAUCACUCCAAAUCUUAUAUUUAGCCAAAGGAAUUCUUUAUUUGGAUGACUGUGUAUUCCUUUUUAUACAUCAUGCCUGUUUAAAAAAAAAAAAAAAAACUUGAAUUGAAACUUCCUUAUAUCAAAGUGAAUUAGAGGGAGGGAAGAAAGGAGGGGAGGGGAGAGACAGAGAGAGAGAGAGACAGAGACAGAGACAAAGAGAAUCAUUCACAGCACACAAGGUGGCCCAGUGGGGACAUUCCAGUCAUUGCUGGGACCUAUGGAGCUGUCCACAAGGGAGGUGCUGACAAUUCGCUGGAGUUGUACAGGGGCUGCCCUCCAGGGUCCUGAACAGGUCCCUUCCACACCCCUAGCAUCAUCUUAUGCAAAAAAUGUAAAGUACCAUGAAGCGCUGGGUGGUGGUGGCUCACGCCUUUAAUCCCAGCACUCGGGAACAGAGGCAGGCAGAUCUCUGUGAGUUCGAGACCAGCCUGGUCUACAAGAGCUAGUUCCAGGACAGCCUCCAAAGCCACAGGGAAACCCUGUCUCGAAAAACCAAAAAAAAAAAGUAAAGUACCAUGAGAAUCUACAUCAACUUGCAGUAACCCCCUUAUGCAGCAGAUAGGCCUCCAGAGUUCUCUGAAUCUUUUCCACACCAUCCAAAUCCCACAUAAGGGCCUUUCCAUGAACAUGAAAUCCACAGAUUCUGCUAACCUGACUUAAGGAUUCACCUCUCUCCACCUCCCCUAUGCUGGGAUCACAAGACAUAAGCCACUGCCCCCAGCUGUAAAAAAAUGGGUGCCGGGGAGCUGAACUCAGGACUUCGUGCUUGUGGGACAAGCAUUUACCCAGUCUCCAGCCUCAAGAGCUGGAAUUUCCACAUUACUUUCCUUGGCUGCAAUAACUUGCUGGCUGUGUGGCCUUGAGUUAAACACUCAUCCUCUCUGGGCCAUAGUGCCCUCCGAAAACAAGGGACUAAUAAGGGCUUCCUUGCUGUCAUCAGGACUUAACUGAGUAUGCCUGGGAAAGAGCUUUGUAAAUAGUGUCAUUGUCUCCUUCCCUCCAGAGCUCUCAGGGUAGAGCCUGCAGCCUCAGUUGGAACUCAGUCAGGAAUCAACCCCCGUUGAUGAGAAAAACACCACCAGAAGUCACAAAAAAACAAAACAGUUUUCUUGCCAGAAGACAGAAGGGGAGAACGGCUGUUCCGAUGGCCGUGAACCUUCACCAAGUUCAGGUUCAGAGUGAAGUCUACCCCAAUACUAUUUGUUCACACCAUUUAUUCUCAAAACUAUUAUUUGACAGCAGAAGUCAUUUCCUCCAGACACUAUCAAGAGGGCCCCUGGCUAUCAUCUGCAUUCCUUUAGUCAAGAUUUCUUCUUCUGGAGCAGACAAUUCUAGGCAAAGUUGAGCCGACCUGCUUCUAUGGAUAUGACACCUGAAAGGCCAAGGCCAGAGAAGGUUCACUGGAAGCCUGAAGAGGGAGGCAGCAGGCCAGUACUAAGAAAGCACAAAGGCCUGAAGACAGAGACAUUUAUUUCUGGCCCCAACUCAAAGCCAAGACCUUGGACGAGUCCUCUGUCCUCUAGGCAGAGGAGUGGCUUGUUUUCCCAUCUACAACACACAGGCUUCCUGGAUCCUCUCCCAAGGCCUUGCUAACUCUUCCUCAUGCUAUUCUGGGAGAGGUACAGCGUUGACAUGAUAGUUGUGAUUUAUCUGAGAGAGUUUUCAGAGAAAGGAAUCCAACAAGAACCUAGAGACUACAGACUAGGACAAAUGGGAAUAUUAGAAGCCCUGGCCAAAAGGGCAGAGAGACAGAGCUAGAGUGAUUGGUUUAUAGGGCAAAGUGAGGAAGAUGGGUCUGGGAUUCAGAUACAAGACACACCAAGAAGCGAAGGGAAGAGAAGUUGUCUGAACCCAGGCUCAGCAAGCCAGUGUCUCCCCUGAUGCAUACAAUCUAGGAGCAAAAUACAGAAGCCUGUUGUCUCCAAGCAAAGGGAAGGGAAUUAGUAAGGCUGUAACAGGGGCCAUUGUAUUGAUGGAUUGAUUGAUGGAUCAAUUGAUUGAUGAUUGAUUUGGGGGGGUGUGCAUGUUCACAUGUAUGCAAGUACCUGUGGAGGCUGGUGGGUGAUAUUGAGUUACCUUCCUCAGGCCCUCAAUUGCUUCCCAUCUUUUUUUGAGACAGACUGUAUUAUUUGCUUUUCUGGUGCUGUGAUAACCAAAAGCAACUAAGAGGAGGAAAGGGUCUAGUUUAGCUCCCAGUUACAGAGAGACAGAAUCUCAUAGCAGAAAAGGCAUGGCAAAUGUAUCAGGAAGCCGGCUGAUCACAUUUUCAUCUACACAAAAGGAAGUGGGGUAAGACAAUAAAUUUAUCAAGCCCUGCCCCCCAGGGACAUACUUCCUCCAACAAGGUACCACCUCAAAAAGAUUCCAUAAUCUCCCCAAACAGCACCACCAACUGGGGACCAAGUUUUCAAAUAAAUGAGACUAUAUGGGACAUUUCUCCUUUAAACCAUCACAUAGGCUGUCUCACUGAACCUAGAGCUCACUGAUCCAGCUAGUCUGGCUAGUUAGCAAGUCUCAGUACUGGCAUUACAGAUGAACACCACUAUGCUGGGCUUUUUCCAUGGAUGCCAGGGAUUCAAGCCCAGGUCCUCAUGUUUGUACACCAAGCACUUUACUGAGUGAAGCAUCUUCCCAGCCCAAAGGGCCAUUUUUGAUUCUUGGCUGGGAUGGUAUGGCAAAAGGUGUGUAAGGGGUAUGUUUCAUCCUGAGUCUAGAGGUUUGAAAAAGUAGACUAGACAGAAGAGGGACCAUUAAAUACAUUUCAGAGGUUUGGAAAGGAUUAAGAGCGCCCAAAGUUCUGAAAAUCAUGUUUCUCACGUUUCCACAUCUCUAAGAUGAAGCCUGGGCCUCUAAAGAUCUUUCUCUCGCCCAUGAGCAAAACCAAGGAUCAUUUCACCCUCCCAGCACCCAAGUCCUCCCACCUUUCAGGAGUAGUCAAGACUCCCAGCUUGGUUCCAUACUCAAGCCUCAGGGAGGAGCUGUCUCUGAGAGCCUGGGAGCCCACAGGUGAGGCCCAGCAGGAGGAGAAAAGAGACCUCCUGCUGUUAGCUCUCAGAGUCUUGGGCUGACUUCCCAAGCUGGCUUCCUGUACUUUGCUGCAGUUCUAACAUGUAGCCCCAAAAGACAGACAGAAGAAAGCUCAUUUUGGGGUUUCUCCUUAAUCCAGGAAUGAUGCCCACCAUGUCAUUGGGUCCAUUUGUUACCAGAAUUGUUGGGGUCGAGCCUGGACUGGCUACCCUAACAAGCUAGGAUCAACUAUCUGUCCUCAACAGGCCAAUUGUACAGACAAAUAGCAUUGAAAAGCAGAGGAGGGAAACACAUUUGACAAAACUGCAAUUGGGAAGAUAGGUGAUAAGGCGGCUCAGUGACCAACCUUGUCCAUCAUCAGAGUUUUAAUAAAUGGCUAUGGAUAUUGUAACUAAGGAAUCCAGGCUAUCCUGCUGACAAGAAGUCACCCUCUGGUGACAUCUUUUCCUGGCUGGCACCAGAAGUCAGCCUUUCCUUUCUCCAGCAUGAGAUUCCUGGGGAAAUUCCAAUUCCUGAAGUCCAUUGUUAAAGUAGUAUGAUAGCCAAAGCAAGAGGCACACACCUGUAAUCUCAGUACUUAGCAGAUAGAGAAAGGGAACUCCAAAGUUCAAGGUUAUCCUCAGCUACAGAGCAAGUUUGAGGCCAGCCUGGGCCACUUAAGACAACAUAACAAAGUAAAUAUGAGCUGGCUUACCUCAUUUUGAUCUUAAAGAAUUACCUUCUGUGAAUGACACUGGCAGGCAGUUUUAUCAAGAGCCAUGUUUAGACUUAGGGAUGAGCAAGCAAAGCUAGUACUGUAAAACUCACCCUGGCCCUCAGUCAGCACAGCUCGUUUGUUAUCUGUAACAUCCUUGUUUGACAGCCCUCUAGGAAAACAUGAAUCUUGCAGGGACUCUUGGCUGCAUUAUUUGUGUUGAAGUUUCUCAACCCUCUGGCACCACAGGAAAGGCAAAUCAGAAGUCCCAGUGAAGACUCUCAUGCCCCCUUAGUUUCUUGCCUUCCUAUCCUGCCACCAUUGAACAGGAACUUCCUUCCACAAUCCCAUCUCCUAGAUGGCGGCUAUUCUCCAGGUCCCCUCUUUUUAUUCUUUACGUCUGCUUGUGGUAAAAUGCAUACAUACAGCAUGGCAUUUAUCAUUGUAGAGCUGGUGAGAUGGUUCCUCAAGUAAAGACUCCAGCCGCCAAGCCUGAUGGCUGAGUUCAAUCCCAGGGCCCAUAUGAUGGAAGGAGACUAUCGCCUCCAUAAAGUGGUCCCCUGAAGGACACCACAACUGCAUAAGCAUAUCCCAACACACAGGCAAACAAUAAAUAAUAAACAAUGGAGGUUUGUUGGUUUUGUUUUUUAAGGCACAUCCUAGGAUAGUUAAGGGUACAACAGAGAAACCCUGUCUCAAAAAGAAGUAAAACAACAACAACAAAACUACUGUAGCCAUUUUUUUAAUUUUUAUUGAUUUUUUUGUGAAUUUCACAUAAUACACCCCAAUCCCAUUCAUCUCCAUAUCCCCCCUCCAUCCUUGCUAUCUGCCCCCAAAAGAAAUAAAAAAUAAAUAAAAAUAAAAACAAAUCAAAAACUAAAAAAGAAAAACAAGCAAGCAAACAAAAACCUCAUUUCACUGUGGAGGAGUAGCCAUUUUUAAAAAGCACAAUCUAAUGGAAUUAAGUAUACUCAUCUUUUCAUUCAUCAUCUCUCCUUUCUGAAAUUGCCUACAAGUCUAAAAGUGACAGGAUCACCUUUUUUAUUAGACAGAUUCCAGGAAUUUGACUCCUCUUUGCUCCUGCACAGAGCUGUGUGGAGCUGAAGAGCAGGAGGUUCAUGCUUGGCCUCAAAUGCACCCCACUAAUGGCCAUUAUAAAUCACCCACACAUUUGCUGACUCAGCUAAAAGCCUUGGGCCCAGCAGUGGCAAGGGCUUUCUUCCUGGGGACCUGCCCAGCUAAGGGCCAGAGCUUCAGGGGAGUACAACAUAACACAUGUUAGACGCUCCAAGUCAGAUGGGGGCGCUAGAGGACUGUGACUUCCCUGGUGGUUGUCAUCUACCUGUGUGGCCCCUGCUUCCACCUCAGAAGAAGCAAGUUAUGUAAUGCCUGGCUCCUCACCUGUGAAAUUCAAAU